rnacentral:lncRNA from 1 species
UUGGAGAGUUCAUCAAUGAGCUUGACGCCUUGAUAAGUUCCUUUCCUGAGGAUGGCUCACCUCUCACAGUUCUGGACCAUUUCCGGAGACCUUCUCCCCUACCUCACCUCGCUCAUCAACGCAUCCUUGACCGCUGGCUACGUCCCUUCCGUCUUCAAGAGAGCGAGAGUUGCACCCCUUCUGAAAAAACCUACACUCGAUCCCUCCGAUGUCAACAACUACAGACCUAUCUGCUGCCUUUGAUACCGUGAACCAUCAGAUCCUCCUCUCCACCCUCUCCGAGCUGGGCAUCUCCGGCACCGCGCACGCUUGGAUUGCGUCCUACCUGACAGGUCGCUCCUACCAGGUGGCGAAUCGCAUCUCUGCAUGUCUGGCAGACAUAUCAGUGUGGAUGACGGAUCACCACCUCAAGCUGAACCUCGGCAAGACGGAGCUGCUCUUCCUCCCGGGGAAGGACUGCCCGUUCCAUGAUCUCGCCAUCACGGUUGACAACUCCCUUGUGUCCUCCUCCCAGAGUGCUAAGAGCCUUGGCGUGACCCUGGACAACACCCUGUCGUUCUCCACCAACAUCAAGG